rnacentral:rRNA from 1 species
UCUGACGGAGCAACGCCGCGUGAGUGACGAAGGUUUUCGGAUCGUAAAACUCUGUUGUGAGGGAAGAACACGUACCAACUAACUAUUGGUACCUUGACGGUACCUCACCAGAAAGCCACGGCUAACUACGUGCCAGCAGCCGCGGUAAUACGUAGGUGGCAAGCGUUGUCCGGAAUUAUUGGGCGUAAAGCGCGCGCAGGCGGUUCCUUAAGUCUGAUGUGAAAGCCCACGGCUCAACCGUGGAGGGUCAUUGGAAACUGGGGAACUUGAGUGCAGAAGAGGAAAGUGGAAUUCCACGUGUAGCGGUGAAAUGCGUAGAGAUGUGGAGGAACACCAGUGGCGAAGGCGACUUUCUGGUCUGUAACUGACGCUGAGGCGCGAAAGCGUGGGGAGCAAACAGGAUUAGAUACCCUGGUAGUCCACGCCGUAAACGAUGAGUGCUAAGUGUUAGGGGGUUUCCGCCCCUUAGUGCUGCAGCUAACGCAUUAAGCACUCCGCCUGGGGAGUACGGCCGCAAGGCUGAAACUCAAAGGAAAUUGACGGA